ACGAGCCCGUCUGCUGUGAAGGGGCUCUUGGCCAGGAAAGCUCGCCGUGCCCACCGAUCAGUGGUCAGAAUUGCUCUCCAGGACCUGAUCAAACAGGAGGCCACAUCAGAGCAAGCAAUACAAAGGCACUCACUGAGGCACUUCUUCUGUCAUGGCCUUCUUUGUGGCUGUGGAGCAGUGUGACUAGUGGAUCCGAUUGAACUGCACUGAAGAUAAAGAUCCUCUUCCAACAACCAAAAGAUACCACUGCAACUUGGCAGAAGGGUACAGCUGGGUAAAACUUCUGAUGUGAGGAGUGCUUUAAAAUGGUGUUGCUGGUAUUUUGUAACUUGCCCCAAGGGUUCACUGGACCAUGUGGUGGGACAUACAUUAGAGAUGUUAAAUGAAUGGAAAUAAAAUUCUUGUUCUUUA